rnacentral:lncRNA from 7 species
CAGUAACAGGUUUCUCUGAAUACUGAAGGACUGAAAAUCUUCCACCUGAUGCUAGCAAAAAGCUUGUCAAACAUUGCUGAGAAGAACAUUGUGUACCUGGCAUGCCUGUGUACCUGGGGUUGUAAGACUUGACUCAAUAUGUCACCCACAAAAAGAAGAGAGAGCAAUUUUCAAGAGGCUACUCAGCUCAUCCAAGAUAUCAGUACCUGAUGUCUUCCCACAAAGCUUCAAAGAUCUACAAAUAAAUUAUAAAGAUUAAAAAUAAAAAAACAUGAAAAAGUAUAGUUACUUGUGGGAACACAAGAAAAACUGUUCAGAGCAGCAGCUGUGGAGCAAGAUAAACAGCAUGAGAACCAAGGACACCUCCAGAAGAAGAAAGAACAGCUCACGGCUGACUGGAUAAGCGCCUGCAUGAAUGAUUGAAGAGUGUUUGUAGAAUGCUUUGUUGACAUUUAAAGGUGGAUGGGAAAGUUGUAGGGGUGGAUGGGAAAGCUAGAAGAAGAAAACUUGUGAAGGUAUAUAAAUUAUGUGAGAACUUGUAGUAAACGAUUUGGAUCAUUCACAUCUGAGAGUGCAUCAGAUGCUGCAGUUACUAUAAAUGUAAAGAAAGUUGGUUCUAGGUCACUAAUUUUACGUGAAAGGAGUAAUUGUUAUUGGAGAAUUAAUACUGGCUAACUUUUGAUAUUUCUGUACACUCAGAAUAUUUUCUGUAUUUCUAAAGCAUAACCGAUGCCAUAAAAUCUUUUUGUUUGUUUGUUUGUUUUUCAAGAGCAAGUUACAUGUCAUUAAUUAUUUUAAAUUUUAAAACUAAGCUUUACUGGAUUACAGAUUUAAAACUGAGUUUACUGUUCAAGAUUUUACAUUCUUGAUAUGUUAAAACAGAUAUAUUGUUAUGCAUCAUCCAUAAUGGCUCGUUGGGUGUUUCCAGAAAUCACAAAUUAGAGUGGAGUCGAGUAAUAUUUUCUGAAAUUCUGCAAUGUGCUUUUAUCAGCUAACAUCAUUGUUAACAGAAUAGUCUUCCAGAUUUUAAAAGAAUCAGAAUUAUUGAUUUUUAAAUGCUAUAGGACAUCUGUACAGAAACAAAAGGAAAAAAAAAAAUGAGAAACUAAAUUUUAUUUCCUGUAACCCUUUUAAAUUUUUAAUAACAUUUUUUUUAUUCCAGAGUUAUGCAAAUAUUCACCAUAGAGAAGGAAUUUGACAAGAGAAGGAAUUGAAACCUUUAAAAAGGUUUCUACCAUCUUCUGUUUAGCUUAACUCUCACACUCGUGAACAUAAUUAUUUCCAAUUUAACCUUUUUUAUGAAUGUGAAGUGCAUAAAAAUGAUGAAUCCAAAAGAGCAGAUUAGUUACCGAGAUGUAUUAAGGACAGUCUGGCAAAUGGAAAAACAUAACUUAUGUAACUUUCUGUUGUUAUAUCAGAAAUGAUCACUAAACAAGAAUAUGGAGGAGAAAAAAAUACACCAAAACAGCAAAAUAUGCUACUUUGAGCUGUAAUUAUGCUAGGCUAAAUUUAAUUAUUCUUUUGCAUUAUAGAAAUCACACGUAAAUUGCAAAUGUUACUUCUAAAGAGAUUUAAGGCUUCCUCUACUCUCAGGUGCAUAAGGUCCCCAAACCAGAGUACAGGUGCACACCAUCAGGCUGGAAUUAAUGUACCUUUGGAUGAAUAAGAGGCUAUGCAUUCCUCUCAUUUCUACCCCUCUGCCCAUCUCUGACAUAAAUAGCUUUAAAAGAGAUGAUCGCAGACUUCAUUUUAUAAUACCUUCAUGCAAAUUAGUUAUGAGGCAAAAAUAUUAGUAUCUACACUCCAGUUUUUCAUUGUUUUUCAUUCUAUUUCCUAUUACAUAUUUUAUAUUCUGAACUCCUCUGUGAGAUGCUUUAAAUUUCAAAAUUUUUGAACAGGUUAGUUUGGUGGCAAGUUGGAGUCUUAGAGAAUAUUCACAUUCAUUUCUUACCACAGGUUUCAGAGAAAAGUAAGGGUUUGGAACUGCUAUCUUACACUGGUAAUAAUGUUCAGAGAUAUUUAUGAAUACACUCAUCUUUACUU